UGAAGCGGCCAUACCCGGCUGGAUACAUCCAGCUCCAUUCCGAACCUGGAAAUUAAGCAGUCGCGGGCUACAUCAGUACUGGGCUAGGAGACUUCCCGGGAACGUGUGGUGCUGCUUCCU
rfam:Tritrichomonas foetus strain K scaffold_748, whole genome shotgun sequence.